AAGCUUAUCCUCACCGCGAGUGAGCAGAGAACCUCCUCCAAGGAAAGACCGAAGGAAGACUCGGAACCGGUACACACCGAGCUUUCUUCUCCCCUGCUCUCGCUGCUGCGGCGAAUUUUCUUGCCCGGCACCGGCCGCCGUGGGUAGCCUGCGCCACCGUACCCCUUCCGCCCUUCCGCCGUCCUCCCGGAAGCGAAAGAUCUUGGAUAAUUUUGAACAUGUCGUGUCUAGCAUGCUGUGGCGGCGAAGACACUCAAAGAGCACCUGAUAGUGGAGGUCCAUACCCAGGUGGCUACCCAGCAAGGAAUGAUGCUUAUCGCACUGCUGUUCCAACUCCCAGAGGUGCUCAACCUGUGAAAGUGCAGCCAAUUGCUGUCCCUACUAUUCCUGUGGAAGAAAUCCGGGAGGUCACACAGGGUUUUGGUGAUGAAGCUUUGGUUGGUGAGGGUUCUUUUGGCAGAGUGUAUUAUGGUGUACUGAACAAUGGCAGAAGUGUGGCGAUCAAAAAGCUAGAUUCAAGUAAACAGCCAGAACAAGAAUUUUUGGCACAGGUUUCCAUGGUGUCAAGACUUAAGCAUGACAAUGUCGUGGAGUUGCUUGGUUACUGUGUUGAUGGAAACACCCGUAUCCUUGCUUAUGAAUUUGCUACUAUGGGUUCUCUUCAUGAUAUACUUCACGGCCGGAAAGGUGUGAAAGGAGCUCAGCCAGGUCCAGUCCUGUCUUGGACACAACGAGUGAAAAUUGCUGUUGGAGCAGCAAAAGGUCUUGAGUAUCUUCAUGAGAAAGCACAGCCUCAUAUAAUACACAGGGACAUCAAAUCCAGCAAUGUACUUCUGUUCGAUGGUGAUGUAUCUAAAAUAGCUGAUUUUGACUUGUCAAACCAAGCUCCUGAUAUGGCAGCUCGACUUCAUUCAACUAGGGUUCUGGGAACAUUUGGAUAUCAUGCGCCUGAGUAUGCGAUGACUGGACAACUUAGCUCUAAGAGUGACGUCUAUAGUUUUGGAGUUGUUCUUCUGGAGCUCCUGACUGGAAGAAAGCCUGUGGAUCAUACAUUACCAAGGGGACAACAGAGUCUCGUGACAUGGGCAACUCCACGGCUUAGUGAAGACAAAGUUAGGCAAUGUGUCGAUUCAAGACUUGGAGGGGAAUAUCCUCCUAAAUCUGUUGCAAAGGGAGAUUCAUUCUUUGUGCCAAUGGUAUCUGAAUAAAGGCCAGAAACUGAGCCUACCUCAGUCAGGUCCGGCUCUGGGCCCAUGCCGGACGGGGGCCCAGGAUUCGAGAUGAACCUGCAUAUGUGUUGGCCCAUUAAAUCUCUCCAGAUUGCUGUCUGUCCUCCAUCGAUCCAGCCGCACACACAAUAGGGAAAAGAGAUCGCUGGUGGAUUGGUGCCUCGUCGGCUUGUUUGUCCACUCGUUGCUCAAUCUGCCGGCGGCAAGGCAACUCAGCCGUGGAGUCAUUAGCGCCGGCCCUCCUGGCUCGUACUCCUGCUGCAUCGAGAUUCAAGUGAUUGUGCACUCAGUAUUGGUGAUAGACCGAUGUUUGCAGCAGUUGCUGCAUUGUGCGUGCAAUAUGAAGCUGAUUUUCGACCAAACAUGAGCAUUGUGGUGAAGGCCCUCCAGCCCCUGCUGAAUGCACGUGCAUCCAACAACCCUGGUGGGCACUCUGGAUCAUAAUCUUCAGUUCACCAUUUGUGACGUAGAAUAUUGCAUUGCCAAGGCUGAGUGAAUGACUGCUUUUGCUUGUACUUGACGACAGUAUCUGAUUCAGACAAAUCAUCUAGCAUUGUAAUUUGUAAUAAGACAAAAGUAUGGUGCUUCUUGACCUUGGAUGUUCACGAGAGAUAACUCCGUGCAAUUCCUGGAUGUUACUGACUAGUC